GUUCCACUAGGAACAUUGUUCUGACCCAGUUUCCAGCUUCCUUGACUUUGUCUGUAGGACAAAAGGUCACCAUCUCCUGCAGGGCCAGGGAGAGUGUCAAUCAAUUUGGCAUAAAUCUUAUGCAUUGGUAUCAACAGAAACCAGGACAGCCUCCCAAACUCCUGAUCGUUAAUGUGUAUAGUCUAGAGUCUGGGAUCCCUGCCAGGUUCAGUGGUGAUGACGAUGAAUUAAACUUCACCCUCACCAUCCAUCCUGUGGAAGCUGAUGAUGUUGCAACCUACUAUUGUCAGCAGGGACUAACACUUCCUCUCACAGCCCUCUAA